CUGGGGAGCUGCUUGUGCUUUGGAGCCCUGUCUGCAGCAGGAAAUCAGCUACUGAGUCCAAGUGUUGUCAGAACAGCUACAAAAAAAAAAAAAAAAAAAAAAAAAAAAAGAGAGAGAGAAGAAGAAACUUGCAAUCUGCACAGAAGAAGAAACACAAAGUCUUUGGUGUGAAGGGAAGAGGCGUAUCUCCCUGGAGAAUAUGAUAAUUUAUAAUGAAACAUUAUCUACAGACCCAUAUGUUACAUUUUCUAUUUAUGGCUAAUUUGCUUAAGCAUUUAUAACGUGCACCCCAAGGGAGGACAGUUUGUCUUUGGGCAGCUGGCUAGCCAGGGAGGGAGGAACUGAGGCGCUUCCACCCGAGCGUGCCGGCAGCGAGGAGCCAGCAGCACCCGCCGGGAGAGGGGCUGGAGGGGCUCCGGGGGGCUGCUCGUGCGCUGUGAUGCUUCCACCUGCAAGGAUCCUGUGGGGCUGCACCAGGCUGUGUCCAGCACGGGCUGGGGCGAGCCAACCCCCAGUAUGUGGGGGUCAGCCCCCACGUGCCAUUCCUGGUGCAAUUCCCACCCGCGGGGAUGAGCCCGAGCCAUGGGGCUUGGGGCCAGCUCCUCCCCUGCUUUGUUUCAUCUCCUUCUGCCCCGCCAAGCACUGCAGGCAGGCUGGGGAACGGGGGCCACGUCCCCAGCAAGCCUUUGGUGCCAUGGGUUGGGGCCGGCACCGCUGCUGAGUGAGAAAGGCAGGAGAGCGUGCGUGAAAAUGAUGAAUGCUCCUUUCAGCCUUGCUACGAGGCUGAGGAGAUCCUGGGAUAUAAACAUGACAGUUUAUGCACCGGGUAUGACGGCUCUGCUCUUCCCGGAUGAUAUUCAGCCACAAACAUUUCAAUCACAGCCUCAGCGAGGGGUGGAUAACCCAGAUGACUCUCUGAAUCACUCUCUGCAUCGCUAAAAUAUUUUCAGAUCUGAUCCCAGACGUCUCUACAAGAUGUUCACAAAUCAACCCAGGAAUACUUCUCCUUUCUUCUGAUGCUCAAAUUUUGCCCUUGAGUUCCCUGAGAAAAAAAAAAUAAAAAAAUUCAAGAUUUCAAGAUUUCCUCCUGCUAUUUGACCCACAUGUCUGCUCACGAGCACGGCGAGGCGCUGAGGUCAGCCCUGAGCAGCCUCGGCUCAGUGCCGCGCAGCCCCUGGGCCCACGCCAGAGCCGCUCAUCACUUCUUUUCAAAAAUGGCAUCAAAUGUUCCUCCUCGGCAAGGCAAAAGGAAACAGACUACAGAGGAGAAGAGGCUGCAGUGCAGAGGAAGCAAAUGACCACAGAGCUCUCUGGAGGCAGCUCUGGAUGUGGAGCCAGGCUCACCCCAGCCCUGGUGCAUUGAGCUAGAAGAGCGCCUUGAAACACCGGUGGUUUCUUGGUGGCACUGCCAUGCUCUCCUACCCAUUAGCGUGGUAUUAAAAGCAAUAAUAACACUGAAUAAAAUGUUUAUUACUUUCCAAACCCUCCAUCCUCAGGGGCCAGCACAGGUUUUGUAGACAGACUGAAGUCGACUCAAGCCAAACUCACCUCCUGUCAUUGCCCUGCCUUGGAGAGAUCACUUCAUUUUUCUCAGUGAAGAGGGCUGCUGUAAAUUAAGGCUUGUCUGGACAACAGCAAACUGUUUGCUGGAAUUAUAGGAUUUUACUUCACACUUACGUGAUCACUGUUUUCCUGAAGCCAGGCUCCCGGGUGCUCUGUAACUGCAGGUCUGCAGAGGUGGCUCACUCGUAAUUCUGUAAUUUGUUCUGUGCUCGUCUGGUACAAUGGCUAAUCACACACGUCUGGAGGAAGAUCGUUAAUUUAUCGGUUAUCACUGUUAUCAGUCAUAAAUUCAAUCACACUUUGCUUUUAGGGAAUAGAAGAUUACAAGUCUGAAUUUCUGCUUCGAGGUGAUGGUGUGUGUGUACAUGUGCGUGAUUAGGCUGAAUGGAGCUCUCUGAUGAAAGGAGCAGGCACAGCUCUGGAGCAAUACCUAAACACACGUAUCUGGCAGUGAUGUGUGCACUUAAUAAAUGAAGUAACACAUCGAAUCAUGCUUUUCUCCAGACGGCUACGUCUCUGCUCAGCUAACCAACAGCAGACCAGAAGCUCACCUCCCUAGAAUAAUUAGAUGACAAUUUUAUGGAUACUUCUUACCCCUGUAGCAUCAAUUCAGCUCUCAGCUUUGCCCAGAUUAUUGAUUUAAAGCAUAUUAAGGAUCAAUAACCGGUCUAAUUGCUCGGCUGCCUCUCAGCAGCUCUCUGCACUCGCCCCAGCCGAGAUGCUCUGCAGCAGCAGCAGCAGCAGCUCGGUGCUCCCAUCCUCGCCCCCCGCGAGCUGUGCAGCUGUCUGAUGUGUGAGUGGGGAUCCAGCAUCUCCCUGAUACAAUAUCAGCCUCCUGGAGCUGAUUUCAAUGGAGGAAAUCAAAGCGAACCAUUAAAACUCAUUACCAUUUUUAUCUCCAAUGCUGCAGAUUCUAUUUGCUAUAAUUUUAUUUGAAUCGGAAUGCAUAUUGUAUUUACAACAUCCUCUCUUUUACCUCCUCAU